UACGUAGGGUGCAAGCGUUGUCCGGAAUUAUUGGGCGUAAAGAGCUCGUAGGCGGUCUGUCGCGUCUGCUGUGAAAACCUAGGGCUUAACUCUGGGCGUACAGUGGGUACGGGCAGGCUAGAGUGCGGUAGGGGAGACUGGAAUUCCUGGUGUAGCGGUGAAAUGCGCAGAUAUCAGGAGGAACACCGGUGGCGAAGGCGGGUCUCUGGGCCGUAACUGACGCUGAGGAGCGAAAGCAUGGGGAGCGAACAGG
rnacentral:rRNA from 1 species